GGGCUUGUGGUUUAGUGGUAUAAUUUUCCCUUAGCAUCUAGUCUCACUUCUCCGUUAAAACGUAUGGGAAAGAUCCUGGGUUCGAUUCCAAGCAAGUCCA